AUACGGAGGAUGCGAGCGUUAUCCGGAUUUAUUGGGUUUAAAGGGAGCGUAGGCGGGAGCUUAAGUCAGCGGUUAAAUGGUGCGGCUCAACCGUGCCCUGCCGUUGAAACUGGGUUUCUUGAGAGUGCAAGAGGCGGAUGGAAUUCAAGGGGUAGCGGUGCAAUGCUUAGAUAUCAUGAAGAACUCCGAUUGCGAAGGCAGUCCGCUGGGGCACGUCUGACGCUGAUGCUCGAAGGUGCGGGAAUCAAACAGGAUUAGAUACCCUGGUAGUCCGCACGGUAAACGAUGAUUACCCGCUGUCGGCGGCAGACAGUCGGCGGCCAAGCGAAAGCGAUAAGUAAUCCACCUGGGGAGUACGCCGGCAACGGUGAAACUCAAAUGAAUUGGCGGGG
rnacentral:rRNA from 1 species